CCUAUCGUUGCUUCGGCGGACUCGCCCCAGCCCGGACGCGGACUGGACCAGCGGCCCGCCGGGGACCUCAAACUCUUGUAUUCCAGCAUCUUCUGAAUACGCCGCAAGGCAAAACAAAUGAAUCAAAACUUUCAACAACGGAUCUCUUGGCUCUGGCAUCGAUGAAGAACGCAGCGAAACGCGAUAAGUAAUGUGAAUUGCAGAAUCCAGUGAAUCAUCGAAUCUUUGAACGCACAUUGCGCCCGCCAGCAUUCUGGCGGGCAUGCCUGUUCGAGCGUCAUUUCAACCCUCGACCUCCCCUUGGGGGGGUCGGCGUUUGGGGACCGGCAGCACACCGCCGGCCCUGAAAUGGAGUGGCGGCCCGUCCGCGGCGACCUCUGCGCAGUAAUACAGCUCGCACCGGAACCCCGACGCGGCCACGCCGUAAAACACCCAACUUCUGAACGUUGACCUCGAAUCAGGUAGGACUACCCGCUGAACUUAAGCAUAUCAUA
rnacentral:rRNA from 1 species